rnacentral:lncRNA from 9 species
AUGGCCCUCCUGGAUUGGCCCUUCUUGCUAGAUCAGGCCGGCGGCGGCGGCGGGGGAAGGCCAUUCCAGGAGCAUAUUGCCCCCAGCCAGUGCCGCCCUGGGGGGCGGCUGAGGCAGAGAGAGGAGGAAAACCUGAGAGUUGCUGUUAGAGCAGGUGUCCACAAGACGGCGCCAGAGCACCUUCUGGACCCAGGUGCAGCGGCAAGGCUGCAGGUGCAGGCUGAGUGGUGGGAUGGAGAGUGUGUGGAUAGGAAGCCACAGCAAGCGCCCAGAGGCCUUUGCGUUGGUUCCUGGGCACCGGGGACUGUCUGGUCCAAGACGCCUCCUGUCAGGCAGAGGACACAGGCGUCCCUGUAGCAUUGGGAGGUGGAUCGGCAGCCUGGUGGCUUGGGAGUGUGCUUCGAAGGCUGCUGGAAGGAGUCACUGGGUGUCGGAACGCCUUGUGUUCCUCCAGACGCAGGAGCGGAGACCCGCCCAGCAUCUGUGUGGUCUCGGGAGCUGGCCAUUUGCAAGGCCCUGACCGUCGGUGGUGGAUGUGGGUGGAGAAUCAGGCGUGCUGCUGCUGCUGCUGCUGCUGCUGCUGCUGCUGUGGAAGGAAUGGGGGGCUUUGGUGGCUUUGUGGUGGACCCAGAGCUGGGCGAAUCCCUGUGCUUCUCCCUUCCAAAGGCUCAGGGGAGUUUCCUUCUUGCCUUUUGAGAGGAGCCUCCCGUUUCCGGACGGGGCCAGGGUAUGGAGGCCUGAGCGAACCCAGGUCUGGUGAAUGAAGCAGGGUUGAUUGGAAUCACCCAGCAAGCUCUCAGGGAGUUCCCUCGUGGCUGCCUGGCUUGAGAGUGUCUAUCUGUCAGUGCUGUGGCUGUGGACAUGGCUCCAGCGAGAUCCAAGUCUGGCCAAAGGGCACCCCAUUGUCACAGGGGGCAUCGAGAUCCAUUUAUAAAGACGAAGAGAUGGGGACAGUAUGAGCUUAAUUGAGAAAGAAGAAAAGGGGUACACAUGCUUAUUCUGACAGUGUAGCUAAGGGUAUUGCCAGAUGAGGCCGUCCCAAAGGCUCUCCUGACCCUCUGCCUCAGGUGGCAGAGUGUUUGAAGGGCAAGCCUUGGGAUGGACAGCAUCGCAGUGGAUUCAUUGCCGGGGCAGAGUGUAUCUGCAUGCCACACAUGGGGGCAGGAACAUCAAUUAGGGAUUUAGAAACAUAAAAGGAAAUGCUAGUACAGAAAGAAAUUUAUCCACGCUUGGUCAUCACGUCGGGUCCCAGCUCAUAGUGCCAGUGCCCCUUGUCAGGGUCAACGGAGCCCGCCUGGCUUCUCCUGAGAGGCAGGGCUAUGUACCAUAGCACAUGCUGUGGGGAAUCCCAAGCCAUUAAGGGUGUGGGAUUUUAUCGGUGAUUAUUUUCCAUUCUCACGGAUGUAUGGUGCCCAGUUUCACUUGAGCACAAACGCGAUCCAGUCGUACAUGUAUAUGCAUCUUCUUUUGGUCGCAGUGUCUUCCAUUUUGGUUCCACAGAAGUGGCCAGGUAUAAUCCCUGUGCUAUAGAGCAGGACUUCAUUGCUAACACAUGCCAAGCACAAGAGGUUGACUCUACCACUCCCAAAUCCCAGGCCUUCCCACAGCCUCCCCCUACCAUCUGGCAACCACAGCGAUGUUUUCCAGUCUAUGAGCUGCUUCUACAUAGAAAGGUUCGUUGGUUCCAUUUGCUAGCUUCCACAUAGAAGGGAUAGCCCUUGGUAUGUGUCGUUCGUGUUCCGACUUAGUUCACCUAGUAUGAAACGAGGUGUCACCUAGCUUCUCGUGCCACCUACAUGGCUGCGAAUGGCAUUUUCCUCUUGCUCUGGGGUUUUCGGGGUUCUGCUUUUUUUUUUUUUCUCAAUGUUUGAGGAGCAUUCCAAUGUGUACAUAUCCACUCUCUUCCUAAUCCAAUCAUCUCUCGAUGGACAUUGAGUUGUUUUCCAUGGCUGGCUAUUGGGAAGUGUGCUGCAUGAACAUAGCGGGGGCUUUUACAUUUUUCAAAGACCCAAUUCCGGAAAUAGGACCAAGAGUGGGAGGCCUGGGUGCUGAGGUCGUCCGCUAUUGAUUUUUGUGGAUUCCCUCGAUCGUGUGGUCCAUCGCGGUUGUCCACACGUACAAAAAUACCCACCGUGGAGGAGGGCAUCUUCUUGUCCACACCCUCUCAGGGAUGUGUGCCUUGUAGACUUCCUAAUGGUGGCCCUUCAGAGAGAGGUGGGUUGGUCCUGCAGAGUCCCUUUGACGUGCAUGUCUCUCCUCAUGAGGGAUGCGGGGCACAUGUCUCCCAGUGCUUUUUGCCCUCUGCAUGUCUGUUUCGGGAAAUGUCUCUUGAGGUCUUUUGCCAUUUUCCCCUUGGGUUUGGGGUUUUGUUGGGCUGUUGGCUGGUGUCUGCGGUCGAGCUGUUGAUUGGGAGACCCCAGGCUGACCUGGGCUCUGGUGCCAGGAGGAAAGUGCCUGAGGGUCGUGCAUGGAAGGUGGUCAAACGGUGAUCCUUUGGUGAGCAGCUGUGUUAAUCCCUGGGCAGUUUCUCGCCUGAGGUCUCCUGAAACGCCGUCCUUGUCUUUACCUUGGAGCCUCUUCCGUUCCCUCAAUACAGCUGGUCCGGAAAUCGGACCUAAGGCUGGUAGAUUGAUUGCGAAAAAGGGAGGUGUCCCCAAGAGUCCCCCCAAUCCCCUGGGGAACAGAGCUGUCUUUGUCCCUGUGGCGGGCGUGCUCACCUCUGCUGCUGGGAAAACAUCGACGUGCAGACAACUCAGGCCAGCUGCGGUGGGGUCCAUACACUAGGAAGCACGAGGGAAAG